CCUACGGGUGGCAGCAGUAGGGAAUAUUGCGCAAUGGGCGAAACCCUUACGCAGCAACGCCGCGUGGAGGAUUAAGGUUUUCGGAUUGUAAACUCCUUUUGUUAGAGACGAUCGUGACGGUAUCUAACGAAUAAGCACCUGCUAACUCCGUGCCAGCAGCCGCGGUAAUACGGAGGGUGCAAGCGGUACUCGGAAUCACUGGUCGUAAAGAGCGCGUAGGCGGGAUAGCAAGUCAGAUGUGAAAUCCUAUGGCUUAACCAUAGAACUGCAUUUGAAACUGGUAAUCUAGAGUAUGGGAGAGGUAGGUGGAAUUCUUGGUGUAGGGGUAAAAUCCGUAGAGAUCAAGAGGAAUACUCAUUGCGAAGGCGACCUGCUAGAACAUAACUGACGCUGAUGCGCGAAAGCGUGGGGAGCAAACAGGAUUAGAUACCCGUGUAGUC
rnacentral:rRNA from 1 species